rnacentral:rRNA from 1 species
AACAAAGUCGUCCGUUCGGGAACCAGGAGACAGGUGCUGCAUGGCUGUCGUCAGCUCGUGUCGUGAGAUGUUGGGUUAAGUCCCGCAACGAGCGCAACCCUUAUCUUUAAUUGCCAGCAUUCAGGUUGGGCACUUUAAAGAGACUGCCGGUGUUAAACCGGAGGAAGGUGGGAUGACGUCAAGUCCUCAUGGCCUUUAUGCUUAGGGCUACACACGUGCUACAAUGGGUGGUACAAAGAGAAGCCAACUCGCGAGAGCGCGCCAAUCUCAAAAAGCCAUCCUCAGUUCGGAUUGGAGUCUGCAACUCGACUCCAUGAAGUUGGAAUCGCUAGUAAUCGCGGAUCAGCAUGCCGCGGUCGAAUACGUUCCCGGGCCUU